rnacentral:rRNA from 1 species
UUACAAUGAAGAGUUUGAUCCUGGCUCAGGAUGAACGCUAGCUACAGGCUUAACACAUGCAAGUCGAGGGGCAUCGGGGGAAGAGCUUGCUCUUUCUGCCGGCGACCGGCGCACGGGUGCGUAACGCGUAUCAAACCUGCCGCAUACUCGGGGACAGCCUUGCGAAAGUAAGAUUAAUACCCGAUGUUAUUAAGUUCUCGCAUGAGGAUUUGAUCAAAGAUUUAUCGGUAUGCGAUGGUGAUGCGUCUGAUUAGGUAGUAGGCGGGGUAACGGCCCACCUAGCCAUCGAUCAGUAGG